rnacentral:rRNA from 1 species
CUACGGGUUGCUCCAGUGGGGAAUAUUGCACAAUGGAGGAAACUCUGAUGCAGCAACGCCGCGUGGAGGAUGACACUUUUCGGAGCGUAAACUCCUUUUAUAUAGGAAGAAGAUGACGGUACUAUAUGAAUAAGCGCCGGCUAACUCCGUGCCAGCAGCCGCGGUAAUACGGAGGGCGCAAGCGUUACUCGGAAUCACUGGGCGUAAAGAGCGUGUAGGCGGAUUAAAAAGUCAGAAGUGAAAUCCUAUAGCUUAACUAUAGAACUGCUUCUGAAACUCUGAAUCUAGAAUAUGGGAGAGGUAGAUGGAAUUUCUGGUGUAGGGGUAAAAUCCGUAGAGAUCAGAAGGAAUACCGAUUGCGAAGGCGAUCUACUAGAACAUUAUUGACGCUGAGACGCGAAAGCGUGGGGAGCAAACGGGAUUAGAUACCCUCGUAGUC